ACUACUCCAUUGGCAGGGGCAUUCCGUAAAGGAAAAUGGUUGUUGCUGGGAGCAACAGUUGCCCCCAGCAAUGAUUGCUAUUGGAAGGAGGGGUCCUUGAUAGACAAUGAGGAACAGGGCUGCAGUGAUUGGCUUGGAUCUCCUCUGGGUGGAAUCUGUGGUGCCCUGCAUGAUUGAUCAAGCCAGCAUCAAAAGCAACAGUAAUCAGGAUCAACAUCAACACCUGGCAUCUGUGGAUACUUGCCAAGAACGUCAAGGCCCUGGCAAUGCCCAUGGCUAAUAUCUGCCAUGAUGGUUCCCAAAUGUUAUUUCUAACCUGACGUUCCAAGCAAUAUCAUUAAUUUCCCAGUGUUGUGCUCACUCCAGAUUUCUAAGCACUGAAAGUUUCCAGAAAUGACCUCAAGGAGAUGAAACAGCAAGAAAAACAGCAGGAGAACAGAUGUCAGAUAACAUGACCUAUAUCCAACAAGACAUGGGGUUAUAGAGAACAUCUUUGUUUCUAUAAGGGGUGAUACCCACAGCAAAGAAACACAUGAAUUGUGUCCAUCAAUUUAUUUCCAUCUGAACUAUUGAGGGCGGCGAAGGGUCCAGCUCGGACACUCUCCCUUUGAAUCCACUUCUAGAGCCUUCUGUUGUUUACAUUAUGUGUUGAAUAAUCAUUUCACAGCUAAAAUCUCUUGUAUAAGAGUUUUCAUUAUAUCAGAAGCUGACAGUGGCGUGAGUAGGAUUACACUAGAUCAGUUUCUGUUGGUGAGUACCAGAGAUGUGGACAAGCUGCUAUGAUGAGUACAAAACACAGCCGGUCCUCUCAGUCCCUGCUUGGCUGUUCAUCCAGAAAAUAAAUGCAAUGUACUAUUAAUGCAUUUGUCAGGGAUGGGAAUUUUCCAUCUUGUUAAAAGAACUGGUGGUAAAAAGCCCUCCUGGGAUCCCCUGGACUUGAAAAAGACCAGUAUUAAAUCUCCUGGUUUUGGGCAAGAUGUUCAAGAAAGCAGUUGCCAUCCAAUUUCAGGCAGUCUUAAAUGUUACAGGCUUUCUAGAUCCAUCUCAAAGCAGAGCAAGAAAGAGUUGAGACUUCCAAGCAAGCUUUAUUGUUCUAAUCUCAGAUAUGAAAUGAAAGAACCAGGUCAGGUGAGCCUUCAAUAAAUAAAGAGAAAUAUCUUGAAUCUUCCAGAAAUCA